AGUGAACGCUGGCGGUAGGCCUAACGCAUACAAGUCGAACGGCAGCACAGUAAGAGCUUGCUCUUACGGGUGGCGAGUGGCGGACGGGUGAGGAAUACAUCGGAAUCUACUUUUUCGUGGGGGAUAACGUAGGGAAACUUACGCUAAUACCGCAUACGACCUACGGGUGAAAGCAGGGGAUCUUCGGACCUUGCGCGAUUGAAUGAGCCGAUGUCGGAUUAGCUAGUUGGCGGGGUAAAGGCCCACCAAGGCGACGAUCCGUAGCUGGUCUGAGAGGAUGAUCAGCCACACUGGAACUGAGACACGGUCCAGACUCCUACGGGAGGCAGCAGUGGGGAAUAUUGGACAAUGGGCGCAAGCCUGAUCCAGCCAUACCGCGUGGGUGAAGAAGGCCUUCGGGUUGUAAAGCCCUUUUGUUGGGAAAGAAAAGCAGCAGGUUAAUACCCCGCUGUUCUGACGGUACCCAAAGAAUAAGCACCGGCUAACUUCGUG
rnacentral:rRNA from 1 species